rnacentral:rRNA from 1 species
CGCCCUUGAAAUACCACCCUUUAAUGGCUGGUGUUCUAACGUGGGCCCGUAAUCCGGGUUGCGGACAGUGUCUGGUGGGUAGUUUGACUGGGGCGGUCUCCUCCUAAAGAGUAACGGAGGAGCACGAAGGUCAGCUAAUCCUGGUCGGACAUCAGGAGGUUAGUGCAAUGGCAUAAGCUGGCUUGACUGCGAGCGUGACGGCGCGAGCAGGUGCGAAAGCAGGUCAUAGUGAUCCGGUGGUUCUGAAUGGAAGGGCCAUCGCUCAACGGAUAAAAGGUACUCCGGGGAUAACAGGCUGAUACCGCCCAAGAGUUCAUAUCGACGGCGGUGUUUGGCACCUCGAUGUCGGCUCAUCACAUCCUGGGGCUGAAGUAGGUCCCAAGGGUAUGGCUGUUCGCCAUUUAAAGUGGUACGCGAGCUGGGUUUAGAACGUCGUGAGACAGUUCGGUCCCUAUCUGCCGUGGGCGCUGGAGAACUGAGGGGGGCUGCUCCUAGUACGAGAGGACCGGAGUGGACGCAUCACUGGUGUUCGGGUUGUCAUGCCAAUGGCACUGCCCGGUAGCUAAAUGCGGAAGAGAUAAGUGCUGAAAGCAUCUAAGCACGAAACUUGCCCCGAGAUGAGUUCUCCCUGACUCCUUGAGAGUCCUGAAGGAACGUUGAAGACGACGACGUUGAUAGGCCGGGUGUGUAAGCGCAGCGAUGCGUUGAGCUAACCGGUACUAAUGAACCGUGAGG